rnacentral:rRNA from 1 species
AGUGAACGCUGGCGGUAGGCCUAACACAUGCAAGUCGAACGGCAGCACAGAAAGAGUUUGUUCUUACGGGUGGCGAGUCGCGGACGGGUGAGGAAUACAUCGGAAUCUUCUUUUUCGUGGGGGAUAACGUAGGGAAACUAACGCUAAUACCGCAUACUACCUACGGCAGAAAGCAGGGGAUUUGCGGAUCUUGCGCGAUUGUAUGAGCCGAUGUCGGAUUAGCUAGUUGGCGGGGUAAAGGCUCACCAAGGCGACGAUCCGUAGCUGGUCUGAGAGGAUGAUCAGCCACACUGGAACUGAGACACGGUCCAGACUCCUACGGGAGGCAGCAGUGGGGAAUAUUGGACAAUGGGCGCAAGCCUGAUCCAGCCAUGCCGCGUGGGUGAAGAAGGCCUUCGGGUUGUAAAGCCCUUUUGUUGGGGAAGAAGAGCAGAAAGUUAAUACCUCGAUGUACUGACGGUACCCAAAGAAUAAGCACCGGCUAACUUCGUG